ACCGUAAAGUGGAGGAAGUGGGGAUGACGUCAAGUCAGCAUGGCCCUUACGUCCGGGGCUACACACGUGCUACAAUGGCCGGUACAAAGGUUGCGAAGCCGUGAGGUGGAGCGAAUACUCAAAAAAGCCGGCCUCAGUUCGGAUUGGAGGCUGCAACUCGCCUCCAUGAAGUCGGAAUCGCUAGUAACCGCAGAUCAGCUACGUUGCGGUGAAUACGUUCCCGGGCCUU
rnacentral:rRNA from 1 species